rnacentral:rRNA from 1 species
GUGGGGAAUAUUGGACAAUGGGGGCAACCCUGAUCCAGCAAUGCCGCGUGUGUGAAGAAGGCCUUCGGGUUGUAAAGCACUUUCGGUGGGGACAAACAAGGCGGAGCUAACAUCUCCGUCCCUGAUGGUACCCAAAGAAGAAGCACCGGCUAACUCUGUGCCAGCAGCCGCGGUAAUACAGAGGGUGCAAGCGUUAAUCGGAAUUACUGGGCGUAAAGCGUGCGUAGGUGGUUUGUUAAGUCAGGUGUGAAAUCCUCGGGCUCAACCCGGGAACUGCGCUUGAUACUGACAGACUCGAGUGUGGUAGAGGAUAGUGGAAUUCCCGGUGUAGCGGUGAAAUGCGUAGAUAUCGGGAGGAACAUCAGUGGCGAAGGCGGCUAUCUGGACCAACACUGACACUGAGGUACGAAAGCGUGGGUAGCAAACAGGAUUAGAAACCCGAGUAGUCC